UGUGUCGAUAUACUUCGUGUGUUAGCUUAAUUGAAUCUCAGAAUCACCGUACCGCCGCCGUAGCCGAGUUUUCUUUAUUAUUCCAAAGCUUUGAGAACUUUAUUCAAUCCUUCGACAUUGCCGUUGUUCUCGUGCCGAAUAUACCGACAGAUUAAUUUCCGGAGAUUCACGAUAAGAAAAGCUCGAACAAUCGCAGACUCGUCCGUCCUAUCGCGAUGCACGCGAUACUCUUGGAUGCACUCGGCGAAGCCGCGGAGAGUGCAUACGUUGCGCGCACAUACAACAGCAGCAGCAGCAGCAUCGUGCGCUCGUAGCGAGCGGGAGGAGGGGAGGGACAAAGAGGGAGAGUCGUUCAAACGAGGGGCCCGCAGCGCCUGGGCUCUGGGCCUCGUCGCGUGUUUUUGCCCCCCGUCUGGCCCCCACCGCGGCUCAUCGUUUUUUGUCUGGUGCACCGCAUGCUCUGCACAGCUCACCUCGCCUCCGCCUCACCUCGGUCGACGUACCACCUCCUCCACCGCUUCCCUCCCUCCCCCCUCCCCCUCCCCUCAUUCCCGUCUCUCUCUCUCUCUUUCUCUCUCUGUCAAUCUCUCGUCGUGCCCGCUCCGCGCUCUCGCUCUCAAUCAGGGCCGGUGUAAGCAGACACUCGCUCGCGUGAUGCUCCGUUUGUAAAACGUCGAUGUUGAAUAUUUUCGAUAUGACGGUAUCUUACCUCUUCGGUAUAGCAAAAACACUUAACAUUUUUUCUCACAAUAUAAAUCGCGAAUGUGCGCACGGUAGUUUUAUAAUUUGUACUGACUUGGUUCUCGUUGCAAGUUUUUAUAUCAAAUUGAGAUACAGGCUUUUUUUUAUUCGAGUUUUUCCAGUUUGAGUGCACAAGUUCUUCUCGUCAGUAAGUCUCGAGUCAGAAGACAGUUUUCUGAAGAAUUUCCCUUUCCCAUCGAGAAAAAAAACUUGUAUAAAUUCGAGGAGCAUGCAUAUUAAGACGUGAAAUUAUUUUUCGCAAUUGCAGUACGAGCAAAAAUUAAACAAAUGUAUCUUUAAUAUUAUUUUUUGUUUUAACAUUGUGUGAUUUAUAUAUGUAAUUAAAAAAAAAAAUCUUUAGCAUCACCAAAAUAAUUUGAUAAUUAAUUGCUGAACCACUUAAUUACCAUUUCGUAUAAGUAAAUAACAAAUAUUUGAUCUUAUUCUCUUGCAAUCUCUUAUUCGAAACUAAAUCGCCGAUCUGGCGAGCGUUCGCGCCGUCCCUGUUCUCAAUCUCAUCGUCAUCGGUCCUUCGCCGUGCCGCAUCCGGGCGGUAUCUCCCUGAGAGCCGAGACACGCGCACGGACUCGCGUGUCCCUGCCGCAUGGUAGAGGAGGAGAACAAGGAAGCGAGCGGAGGCCGUCGGACGAAGCCGGAGAGCUCAAGCUGUUCCGCAGUCGCUAGCGAAAGGUGAUUGUCGAGGGUAGGGGAGGGGGGAGAAGCACGGGAGGAAGGAAGAUGCGGUCGUUCGAUCUCGGUGCACCUGCCGGCGUUGACGUUCGCGAUGCCGAUUCGCGAUCAGACGCUGCUCGUACGGUUACGACUCGAAAAGGAUCGCAGGAUCGCAGGAUGAAAAUGAUUCGAUCCUUUUCACAAUCUGUCGUUAGUUCUUUAAUCCACUGACCGAUCAAUCGUUUAAUAGUAGAGGAGAAAAUGGUAUUGUGGUAUCUCAUUUAUAUUUUACACUAUAACUUUGCUAAUAAUCGAUAUUUUAAAUUGAAAACUGAACACACACACACCAUUCAUCAAUGUGUUGUGCACACAAUUAUCGAUUCUGGACUCAAAAUUAUAAAAUAUCUAAUACUUAGCAUGUAAAAAUGUGACGACAUUGCAUAAUAGAUUGAAGAGAAAUAAAGAUAGUAACGUGACCUCUCUGCUAUAAUACAUUGAUAUAUAAAAAAUUGAUUUUGUGUAAAAAAGCCAGUGUUUUAUAAUAAAAUUGUUUAUUUAAUCAAAAUAAAGCAAGACACAUAAUCCUUUCAGUAUAUACACCUUUAUAGUAGAUAUUAAAAAUAUAUAAUACAGGUAAUGUGAAAACUGUGUGUGUGUAGCAGUAGAAGUAUAACUUAUUGAAUAACUAUUUCCAUAUGAAAACUUCAGAAAAAAGGUUGUAUUAGGCUUGUUAAAACGUCAACACAUUAGUUAGGCUACAUUAGCAAGAUCCUGUGCUAUUGUAUUUAACUUUGUAUAACUCGACAUGUGUAUAAGCACAUAAAAUUUAACAUUUUACCAAGUAAAAUGUUAAAUAAUUAAAAAAAAACUCGAGUAUGUACAUAUAUUCGUGCUCAAGUUUAAAAAGAAUGAGAAAGUACUUGUAAUUCAAUGAUAAAAUAUGCCUUGAAAAAGUUUUAAAAUGCUCAAAAUGCCUUAUAACAAAUGUCGGUUGUUUUGUAUGACAUACGAAUAAAAAUUGUGGAAUGUUUAAUAUAAGGAAAUUUAGUUAAAGAGUAUUGUCGCUAUCUUCUAACGAUUGAAUUAAUUUUUGAACAAUAUUAAUUUUUUCCUGGAGAACUUUUUUAAUAUGUUUGAAAAUUAGGUAUUGAAAGAUUUAAAAGGAUAUUGUUCGUUACUAAAAUUAUUUUAUGUACGAUCCAAUAUUUAUUUAUAAGAAUAAACGUUUACCCGUUGUUAGUUAAUUAAUUGCUACUAUUAAUGAUACGUGUGACUUAUUAAAAUAUCUGUGAUUUGACAGUUGAGUUGGGAGCCUUAAAGAAAAUUAAUCAAAUAAAAAUGAAAAAUUGUUCAGCUUUAUUUAAAGAAAAAAAUUCUCGCGCAUUGCCAAAGAAGAACAAGACUCCGGACAUGCCUUUAUUUAGCAUUCGGAAUUUAUUUGGAUCCAAAUCCAAAUAUAUCGUAAUCAAACACUAAUUAUUGAUCAAUUAGCCGUUUUAACGACAGAUAAAUUUAUUACCGCGUGUAGCAACAUGUGUACAUAUGUGUUUCACGCUUUAUGUGCGUUUAACUGCGUUCUGAUGAAAUGAUAUUACCUUGAUUGAUAACACGAUGGCAUAACGUUCUUCGUACACUUCGCAUCUUUAGAAGAGCGAUUACGCUCGCGCAGUCCUUGGCAGUGGCAAGGUUGCGGAGAAUGACAUCUAAUCGAUUCCACGUGUCGAUGAUUUGUGUGGUGACUCGACAAACCGCACACAGGGCAUUACUUGCAUCAUGAUCGUUUAAGUUCUAACAACUUAGUCCUGACACCACACGCAUGAUCCGUUUUUAAGUUCAUUUUUGUGAGUAAAGAGUUAUUUAUCUUUUUUACUCGCAUUGUUAUUUUAAUAUGUAUCUCAUUUGUAUUACAUUGCGCAUUAUUAAUCGCUCUACUGCAUUGAUAUGUGUACAUAUGUACAUAAAUACGUCGCAUAAUGAUAACUUGAACUUUUAAAUUAAUUCUAAUUAAAAUAUUUUUAUACUACACGUAAAAAAAAA